rfam:Myotis lucifugus cont2.51445, whole genome shotgun sequence.
UGCGGUACUCGGGUGAUGCACCCUGGAAUCGGGCUCCCUCCUUUCUGGUUCUGGGUGUGUCACCCAAGAACCGCA